UUGAACGCUGGCGGCAGGCCUAACACAUGCAAGUCGAACGGUAACAGGAAGAAGCUUGCUUCUUUGCUGACGAGUGGCGGACGGGUGAGUAAUGUCUGGGAAACUGCCUGAUGGAGGGGGAUAACUACUGGAAACGGUAGCUAAUACCGCAUAACGUCGCAAGACCAAAGAGGGGGACCUUCGGGCCUCUUGCCAUCGGAUGUGCCCAGAUGGGAUUAGCUAGUAGGUGGGGUAACGGCUCACCUAGGCGACGAUCCCUAGCUGGUCUGAGAGGAUGACCAGCCACACUGGAACUGAGACACGGUCCAGACUCCUACGGGAGGCAGCAGUGGGGAAUAUUGCACAAUGGGCGCAAGCCUGAUGCAGCCAUGCCGCGUGUAUGAAGAAGGCCUUAGGGUUGUAAAGUACUUUCAGCGGGGAGGAAGGGAGUAAAGUUAAUACCUUUGCUCAUUGACGUUACCCGCAGAAGAAGCACCGGCUAACUCCGUGCCAGCAGCCGCGGUAAUACGGAGGGUGCAAGCGUUAAUCGGAAUUACUGGGCGUAAAGCGCACGCAGGCGGUUUGUUAAGUCAGAUGUGAAAUCCCCGGGCUCAACCUGGGAACUGCAUCUGAUACUGGCAAGCUUGAGUCUCGUAGAGGGGGGUAGAAUUCCAGGUGUAGCGGUGAAAUGCGUAGAGAUCUGGAGGAAUACCGGUGGCGAAGGCGGCCCCCUGGACGAAGACUGACGCUCAGGUGCGAAAGCGUGGGGAGCAAACAGGAUUAGAUACCCUGGUAGUCCACGCCGUAAACGAUGUCGACUUGGAGGUUGUGCCCUUGAGGCGUGGCUUCCGGAGCUAACGCGUUAAGUCGACCGCCUGGGGAGUACGGCCGCAAGGUUAAAACUCAAAUGAAUUGACGGGGGCCCGCACAAGCGGUGGAGCAUGUGGUUUAAUUCGAUGCAACGCGAAGAACCUUACCUGGUCUUGACAUCCACAGAACUUUCCAGAGAUGGAUUGGUGCCUUCGGGAACUGUGAGACAGGUGCUGCAUGGCUGUCGUCAGCUCGUGUUGUGAAAUGUUGGGUUAAGUCCCGCAACGAGCGCAACCCUUAUCCUUUGUUGCCAGCGGUCCGGCCGGGAACUCAAAGGAGACUGCCAGUGAUAAACUGGAGGAAGGUGGGGAUGACGUCAAGUCAUCAUGGCCCUUGCGACCAGGGCUACACACGUGCUACAAUGGCGCAUACAAAGAGAAGCGACCUCGCGAGAGCAAGCGGACCUCAUAAAGUGCGUCGUAGUCCGGAUUGGAGUCUGCAACUCGACUCCAUGAAGUCGGAAUCGCUAGUAAUCGUGGAUCAGAAUGCCACGGUGAAUACGUUCCCGGGCCUUGUACACACCGCCCGUCACACCAUGGGAGUGGGUUGCAAAAGAAGUAGGUAGCUUAACCUUCGGGAGGGCGCUUACCACUUUGUGAUUCAUGACUGGGGUG
rnacentral:rRNA from 1 species